UACCAGCACCCCGAGUGGUCGGGACGAUUAUUGGGCCUAAAGCAUCCGUAGCCGGUACUGCAAGUCUUCCGUUAAAUCCACCUGCUUAACAGUUGGGCUGCGGGGGAUACUACAGCGCUAGGAGGCGGGAGAGGCAAGCGGUACUCAAUGGGUAGGGGUAAAAUCCGCUGAUCCAUUGAAGACCACCAGUGGCGAAGGCGGCUUGCCAGAACGCGCUCGACGGUGAGGGAUGAAAGCUGGGGGAGCAAACCGG
rnacentral:rRNA from 2 species